rnacentral:tRNA from 1 species
AAUAUUAUGUCUGAUAAAAGAGAUAAAUUGUAAAUUUAUUUAUGAAAAUUUAGGUUUUUCUAAUAUUA